AAACCAACAGGGAUUGCCUUAGUAACGGCGAGUGAAGCGGCAAAAGCUCAAAUUUGAAAUCUGGCACCUUCGGUGUCCGAGUUGUAAUUUGAAGAAGGUAACUUUGGAGUCAGCUCUUGUCUAUGUUCCUUGGAACAGGACGUCACAGAGGGUGAGAAUCCCGUGCGAUGAGAUGUCUGAUUCUAUGUAAAGUGCUUUCGAAGAGUCGAGUUGUUUGGGAAUGCAGCUCUAAGUGGGUGGUAAAUUCCAUCUAAAGCUAAAUAUUGGCGAGAGACCGAUAGCGAACAAGUACAGUGAUGGAAAGAUGAAAAGAACUUUGAAAAGAGAGUGAAAAAGUACGUGAAAUUGUUGAAAGGGAAGGGUUUGAGAUCAGACUUGGUAUUUUGUAUGUCUUGCUUUCGGGUGGGGCCUCUACAGUUUACUGGGCCAGCAUCGGUUUGGACGGUAGGAUAAUGACAUUGGAAUGUGGCACCACCUCGGUGGUGUGUUAUAGACUUUGUUGAUACUGCCUGUCUAGACCGAGGACUGCGUCUUUGACUAGGAUGCUGGCAUAAUGAUCUUAAACCGC
rnacentral:rRNA from 2 species